AGCACAUGUCACACGGCAUGAUUUUGAAACGCCGAAAGGUUCAGAUAUUUAACAUGACAAAUAUCAUCUGUGAUUCUCCCAGAUCACUAAUCACUAGCAUCUUUUGGUAAAUCAAAAUCAGGGCUAAAAUCGUGCAGUCUGAACUUGGCAUAACUUGUUGCAACUGUCUCUUAUCUCUUAAUUAUUAGCCAUCAUCCUAUCAGUCAUCUCUCGCUACCUCUCUGUUUAUGUGGAGAAGAACUGCGUGCGUACCUCAAGGCAGUCGUCGCAAAAUUUGAACCUGCUUUUCCAAUAUUUCAUUAGGAAGACACUAGGUUUUGUUCAAGUAAGUCAUGCAAAAUUCUGUUUCUGUUUUAAUGUUUCACUUUGUGUUCUUGAAAACCUUGUGUUGUGUUAUUUAGUAACAGCUUGAUGCACUUUGAUGUACAACAACCUAUUUUACACACCCAUUUCAACACACAUUUCAAAUUCACAUUUCCAUGACUAACUAGCAUAAAAUCUUACUAAAUUUUAGAAGCCUGCAAAUGUCUAACCAGUGAGUCAUAUGAAAAUUUUAUUUAUAACACUAUUUCUAUUCCAGUGCCUGGUUUCUUUUGUAUGAUUCAUGACAACAUUUACAUAUAUUGUCUUACAGUUAUGCCCAACUAACAAUAAGAAAUAAGAAAUUGUAAGUGAGAGGAGAGAGCGUAAACAUCGACAGUCGGUGUCCAUU